rnacentral:pre_miRNA from 1 species
CACCCGAAUCGUUGUUCAUUUGUAUUGCUUGCCUCAAAUGGACAACGAUUUGGGUGAG